rnacentral:sRNA from 1 species
AGGAGUUUGAGGUUGCUGUGAGCUAGGCUGACGCCACGGCACUCACUCUAGCCUGGGCAACAAAGUGAGACUCUGUCUCAAAAAAAAAAAAAAAAAAAAGAGAAAGAAAAUAUCAUCUUUUUUUUUUUUUUUUUUUUUUUUUUUUUUUUUUUUUUUUUGAGACAGAGUCUCACUUUGUUGUCCAGGCUAGAGUGAGUGCCGUGGCGUCAGCCUAGCUCACAGCAACCUCAAACUCCUGGGCUCAAGCGAUCCUCCUGCCUACAGCCUCCCGAGUAGCGGGACUACAGGCAUGCGCCACCAUGCCCGGC